AUACAGAGGGUGCAAGCGUUAAUCGGAAUUACUGGGCGUAAAGCGCGCGUAGGCGGUUUGUUAAGUUGGAUGUGAAAGCCCCGGGCUUAACCUGGGAGGGUCAUUCAAAACUGGCAGACUAGAGUGUGGUAGAGGGUAGUGGAAUUCUUAGUGUAGCGGUGAAAUGCGUAGAGAUUAGGAGGAACACCAGUGGCGAAGGCGACUGCCUGGACCAACACUGACGCUGAGGUGCGAAAGCGUGGGUAGCGAACAGGAUUAGAAACCCCAGUAGUCC
rnacentral:rRNA from 1 species